rnacentral:lncRNA from 1 species
AUGGGAUGGAAAGGGUCCCUAUUAUAAAAAAUGGCGAUUGUUAGAUUUGUGCCAAGUGGCAAAAUCUGGUGAGGAGAGAGAAAAUUAAUCGAAAAGGAGUGAUGUGAUGCGACGCAAUGACAAUUCAAAAAAUGGAGGCACACUUCCUAAAGAAUGACGGUACACCGUUAAACCAGCGACACACACUGCCCAAGGCAGAGCACGGUGCCUCAAGGGGGCGGUGCACAUAGCCCAAGGCAGCAACACGCCUCCCCAAUCGACCGCACGGUACAAGCCUAGCCUGCAGGCGCACCAACCUAUCCUUCCAUGUGCAGCGCUAGCCUGCACGUAGGCCCAUGCCUGCAAGCC